rnacentral:rRNA from 1 species
CAAAAAUGACUCUCGGCAACGGAUAUCUCGGCUCUCGCAUCGAUGAAGAACGUAGCGAAAUGCGAUACUUGGUGUGAAUUGCAGAAUCCCGNGAACCAUCGAGUCUUUGAACGCAAGUUGCGCCCGAAGCCAUCAGGCCGAGGGCACGCCUGCCUGGGCGUCACGCAU